rnacentral:rRNA from 1 species
AACGAACGCUGGCGGCAUGCCUAACACAUGCAAGUCGAACGAGACCUUCGGGUCUAGUGGCGCACGGGUGCGUAACGCGUGGGAACCUGCCCUUAGGUUCGGAAUAACUCCCCGAAAGGGGUGCUAAUACCGGAUAAUGUCUUCGGACCAAAGAUUUAUCGCCUUUGGAUGGGCCCGCGUUGGAUUAGCUAGUUGGUAGGGUAAAAGCCUGCCAAGGCGACGAUCCAUAGCUGGUCUGAGAGGAUGAUCAGCCACACUGGGACUGAGACACGGCCCAGACUCCUACGGGAGGAAGCAGUGGGGAAUAUUAGACAAUGGGCGAAAGCCUGAUCCAGCAAUGCCGCGUGAGUGAUGAAGGCCUUAGGGUUGUAAAGCUCUUUUACCCGGGAUGAUAAUGACAGUACCGGGAGAAUAAGCUCCGGCUAACUCCGUG